UGCCCAGCAAUUCCUAUCCCUACCUCCGUGUGGUACCGACUGGAAACUACGAGCAACCUUAGGAAAGAUCGGGUAACCAACCCGAGUAGGAACUUUAGUCAUAGUCUGAUAGGGAACG
rnacentral:ribozyme from 1 species